rnacentral:tRNA from 1 species
GCGCCCGUAGCUCAGUAGGAUAGAGCGACUGCCUCCUAAGCAGUAGGCCGGAGGUUCGAUUCCUCUCGGGCGUGCCA